rnacentral:rRNA from 1 species
GAGUUUGAUCCUGGCUCAGAGCGAACGCUGGCGGCAGGCCUAAAACAUGCAAGUCGAACGGAUCCUUCGGGAUUAGUGGCGGACGGGUGAGUAACACGUGGGAACGUGCCUUUGAGUUCGGAACAACUCAGGCAAACUUGAGCUAAUACCGAAUGUGCCCUUCGGGGGAAAGAUUUAUCGCCUUUAGAGCGGCCCGCGUCUGAUUAGCUUGUUGGUGAGGUAAAGGCUCACCAAGGCGACGAUCAGUAGCUGGUCUGAGAGGAUGAUCAGCCACACUGGGACUGAGACGCGGCCCAGACUCCUACGGGAGGCAGCAGUUAGGAAUCUUGCGCAAUGGGGGCAACCCUGACGCAGGCAUGCCGCGUGAAUGAUGAAGGUCUUAGGAUUGUAAAAUUCUUUCAGCGGGGACGAUAAUGACGGUACCCGCAGAAGAAGCCCCGGCUAACUUCGUGCCAGCAGCCGCGGUAAUACGAAGGGGGCUAGCGUUGCUCGGAAUUACUGGGCGUAAAGCGCACGUAGGCGGAUAUUUAAGUCAGGGGUGAAAUCCCGGGGCUCAACCCCGGAACUGCCUUUGAUACUGGGUAUCUCGAGUCCGAGAGAGGUGAGUGGAAUUCCGAGUGUAGAGGUGAAAUUCGUAGAUAUUCGGAGGAACAUCAAUGGCGAAGGCAGCCCCCUGGGUUAACACUGACGCUCAUGCACGAAAGCGUGGGGAGCAAACAGGAUUAGAUACCCUGGUAGUCCACGCCCUAAACUAUGUCAACUGGUUGUCGGGGAAGCAAUUCCUUGGUAACGAAGCUAACGCGUGAAGUUGACCGCCUGGGGAGUACGGCCGCAAGGUUAAAACUCAAAGGAAUUGACGGGGACCCGCACAAGCGGUGGAUUAUGUGGAUUAAUUCGAUGCAACGCGAAAAACCUUACCUACCCUUGACAUGUACGGAACCUCGCAGAGAUGUGAGGGUGCUCGAAAGAGAACCGUAACACAGGUGCUGCAUGGCUGUCGUCAGCUCGUGUCGUGAGAUGUUGGGUUAAGUCCCGCAACGAGCGCAACCCUUGCCAUUAGUUGCUACAUUUAGUUGGGCACUCUAAUGGGACUGCCGGUGACAGACCGGAGGAAGGUGGGGAUGACGUCAAGUCCUCAUGGCCCUUAUGGGUAGGGCUUCACACGUAAUACAAUGGUAGGUACAGAGGGUAGCCAACCCGCGAGGGGGAGCCAAUCCCAUAAAACCAGUCGUAGUCCGGAUCGCAGUCUGCAACUCGACUGCGUGAAGUCGGAAUCGCUAGUAAUCGCGGAUCGGCAUGUCGCGGUGAAUACGUUCCCGGGUCUUGUACACAC